CAGAAAAUAGUUUAGUUUAGAAUUCUGGCUUUGGGAGCCAGUGGUGAGAGUUAAAACUUCUCUUUUCUGG
rnacentral:tRNA from 1 species